GAAGACAUGGCUACAGCCCUUCCCUAGUCAAUACCAGAGAGAAGUGGUUUGUAAAUGUCAAGCACAGAUGAGCUAUAAGAUAAUGAACUUUGAUGAACCUGGACUCCAGAGGAGAGGGACAACCAGAUGACCCUAUCAAGUGAAACAGAAGUUGAGUUUGCCUACCUGAACACCAUCAAAAAAGACUGACAUUUACCAAAGUUCGUCGCUAUCCCAUUCCCAGCUGGCUGUAUCUGGGAUCCAGUGCUGUCCCAG